GUAGGUGAACCUGCGGAAGGAUCAUUAACACGUAUCCACGUUAAUAACCCGAGAACUUUCUUGGGAACGUCUCGAUUCUGACUCGUCAGAUGAGAGGCCUCCCGAGUAAACUCAUUUACCCGAUUCGAAAGGAGGGAUACCGUCUCUCUCUCGAGAGAGAUGGUAACCCACCAAUCUUAUCGGGUUAUCUGAAACUCCUUUUGUUUCUUUUUCCCAACUCUGAGACGCUUUCGAGUGUCAAAGGGAGGGG
rnacentral:misc_RNA from 1 species